UCGAGCGCCUCGCAAGAGGAGCGGCAGACGGGUGAGUAACGCGUGGGAAUCUACCCAUCUCUACGGAACAACUCCGGGAAACUGGAGCUAAUACCGUAUACGUCCUUCGGGAGAAAGAUUUAUCGGAGAUGGAUGAGCCCGCGUUGGAUUAGCUAGUUGGUGGGGUAAUGGCCUACCAAGGCGACGAUCCAUAGCUGGUCUGAGAGGAUGAUCAGCCACACUGGGACUGAGACACGGCCCAGACUCCUACGGGAGGCAGCAGUGGGGAAUAUUGGACAAUGGGCGAAAGCCUGAUCCAGCCAUGCCGCGUGAGUGAUGAAGGCCCUAGGGUUGUAAAGCUCUUUCAACGGUGAAGAUAAUGACGGUAACCGUAGAAGAAGCCCCGGCUAACUUCGUGCCAGCAGCCGCGGUAAUACGAAGGGGGCUAGCGUUGUUCGGAAUUACUGGGCGUAAAGCGCACGUAGGCGGAUUGUUAAGUUAGGGGUGAAAUCCCAGGGCUCAACCCUGGAACUGCCUUUAAUACUGGCAAUCUCGAGUCCGAGAGAGGUGAGUGGAAUUCCGAGUGUAGAGGUGAAAUU
rnacentral:rRNA from 1 species